ensembl:lncRNA
UAGAUCAAUUAAGAAUAAGAAAAAUAAGUUAUUACUUUACCUUCAUUAUCCCUUCUCUGACAUUCUUUUUCUCUUUCCGUAGAUUUCAGUUUCUGACCUAUCUUAUUUUCCUUUUUUCUAAAGAGCUUCUUUCAACAUUUCUUGAAAAGCAGGUCUAGUGGCAGCAAAUCUCUUUAAUUUGUGUUUUGCUGAUAAAGUAUUUCUCCUGCAUGUUUGAAGGACAGUUCUGCAGGCUACAAUGCUGCUUCUCAGUUCUCACUUUGAAUUUCCUUCUUCCUGUUUGCACUGCCUGUUUGUCCUUGCCUGUCUCCCACUUUAUCCACAAGAGUUCUUCACAUAAUUACGGGGUUUUGAAGUUCCCUGGUCUGAUAAUACCACCAUUCCUGCCAUAGCUGUGUGUUCCUGAUACUUCGGUUUUUUCAAACAACUCUGUGUGUGUGUGUGUGUGUGUGUGUGUGUGUAUGUGUGCGCAUUUGUGUGUUUGGUACUGGAGACUGGAUUGAGCCCAGGGCCUUUGCACUGAGCUACAUCUCUAGGCCUUUUAUAUUUUUUUCUAUUUUGAGACAGAGUCUUAAUAAGUCACUAAGUUGCUCAGGCUGUGCUCGAACUUGGAAUUCUCCUGCUAAUACAGGAAAUAAUACUGGAGAUGAAAUAGCUAAUAUAUCUCCCAAUCUGUUUGCUGUCUGAUACCCUGAGUUCUUGUUCUCUAAAAAUGGGAGAAUGGGGCUGGGGAUUUAGCUCAGUGGUUCUGGGCCUGCCUCGCAAGCGCAAGGUCCCAAGUUCGAUCCUAGGUAAUAAAUAAAUAAAUAAAUGGAAGAAUGAAUUUUAGGAACAACAGAGAUUAAGAGUAGGAAGGUAUUUAUUGAUAAGGGCAGGAACGGUCCCAAGUAGGUACCCAAGACCCCACUCUAUAGGGGAGUUUUGUAGAGUGAAAUUCACAUUAGUACAACUUGUGGGCCACAGCCAUGAUCAACCAAUAAGGUUACAAGUACAGCCACUUAGAUAAUAGUGGCCCAAUUGGGAAACAAGUCACAUAACAAGCAUGGAUGGAAUGAACAAAGUCUUCUCCUAGGAAAUGGUGGGUCCAGAGGUCUCUGGUCACCCACUGAGGUGGCUGAUGUCUAUCUAGACUUCAUUAGGCCCAGUGUUUGGUCUUUGAGGAAGUGUGUAGGUCUGGUCAUCUUGUCUUUAUAUUGAGGCCUGGUCUCUAGCUGGUAUGCCUCUGGCUGCAGCUGUGGUGUGUUUCAUCUUUGACCUGACUUUUGCCAGGACGUGGGCCUAUCUGACUGCCUGUUUAACUCAGCUGUCUACAAUACUGCCUCAGCCUCCCACACUGCUGGGAUUACAGGCAUGUACUACUGCGCCUGGCUUCUUUUUUGUUUUUGCCUUUCAGAUAUCAGAAGUUUUUCUUGGUGGCUGGAUAUGAGGUAAGGGUACCUACUGUGAAUUAUUCUUUGGUGAUAUAGUGUGUGGUGUGGUGGGAGGGAAGAAAGUCAUGGUAUUAUGAUUAGGUCUCAGACUCUUAAGGCCCAUGUCUCUGAGAUGUGAACUCCACAUGUUUCUCAGUGUUGUUCCAUUUAAGUGGGACAGGAUGGCUCCAGUGGGCUGGAGUUGGGUGUGCCUUCCUCCCAGGUGCCUUGGGCUCUGACAAACCCCCAGCAGGUGGGGCUCUGGGUAACCACUUCCCCAUGAGGGCCACUCUUGUUAAGAAAAUCAAAUGCUCUUCAAGGUUUCAAAAUGGUUCCUUUCUCCCUCAUCUGUGGAAACACAAGCACAAAGGAAUUUUCUUUGCUGUUCACUGUGAGAAGCUGGCUGAGUUUCUGGAGGUAAAGCUCACGAAAGUAUGGGGUCCUCUACACUGGGGGCCCCUGAAUCUUUUCUCUGUCAGACCUGAGCCUCCAGUGAUGUGUCCAUGAGUUCCUCCUCCCUGCCUGGCCCUGGUAUCCACAGAGUUUUCUGCUCCAGGGCUUUUGCCCGUGUAAAUUUUGAUUCUUGCGCCUACUGUGUGUCACACACUGUGCUGGUGCUUUACUUAGAUCGACUGGGUUCUGUAUGGCAGGGAACAAGUGCCCUCCUUUUACAAUGGAGGAAAUUAAGGCUCCAUAAAGAUACAGGAUCCUCCUAUGGCCCUGAGCCGGGCGGUGGGGGGCUUUCAACCAGGACAGAGUGACAGAAAAUCUUGUGUUUGUGCCACAUCCACAGAAAAAGUGACUCACAGUGGCUCCCUGGCCAGCAGUGGCUUCAUGAAUGAUGUAGCCAGGGUGUACUUACCUGAGCAUUUCCAAAAUUCUCUAGUCCAUGCUGUUUUGUGGAAGAAAUAGGGAAUUAAAAUCCCAUGACCCAGCAUGAUUUCACCUCCCAUGGGACUGAGGGAGAGCCAGCACGCAUCACCUGUGGGUUUGCAUGGCCUGCAGUUUUUGUUGUUGUUGUUGUUGUUGUUGUUUUGUUUUGUUUUGACUUUUAGUCAGCACUUUCCCAUUGGUUAAAAAAUAAGGAAGAUGGGCCCGGGAUUUAGCUCAAUGGUUUCGCCGCCUGUUGCACAGGUGCAAGGACCCGAGUUUGAUCCCUGGUACCAAAAUAAAUAAAUAAAUAAAAAUAAGGAAGAUGGAGUUCCAUGUCAAAGAGCAAAGAUGUCCUGGAAAUCCACCCUGUGAUUUUGAUGAGCUAAGUUCAUGGUAUAAACCUUGCCUUUUUUUUUUUUAACAUUUCUGAAUUUUACAGCAAGCCUUGUUUCACUUGAGGCUUGUGAGCACUCUGUGAGUAAGGGCAACUGUUAUUGUUCCCAUUUUCAGAAGAGAAAACUGAGGUUGGGAGGGUUAGUGACGCCUCCAAAGUUACAGGUGUUAGCAAUAAAGGUAAGAAUUUAAGUGUCUUCAUUUGGUGCUUGCUUCAUGGCAAAUGCUGGCCUGCUGCACUGAUUAAUCUUGAUCGUCUACUUUAUCAGCUUGAGAGCCACCUGGGAGAUUAGUACAGCAGGCUUCUGGGUGUGUCUGAGGGGUAAGCAGGGCAUGGCCUUGGGGAUUAUUUCUGAUCCCUGACCCCUUCUUCCUUGGUUCUUCCCCAGCGUCCUGCUUCCUACAUGCCAUAUCUGAGUAUCUUUCCUCUUCCACGCCAUUCUGCCAUGCUGUUUCUGCUUUGGAGCUGGCUGACCGUGGAUUGAAACCUCUGGAACCAUGAGGACAGAGAUUUAAACUGUAACAUGGAAGGUGAGCUGGUCCCAGCACCUGGAAGGAAGCUCCCUCACCACCAUCCCAAGCUCCUAGGGCACAGAAGGUGAGCCACACGGGUGCCAGAAGCAAUCCCCUCCACCCCGUGGAAAUGAGAUGACACAUGAACAAGCCUCAAAAACAGACUUCUGGAUAACCUACAGCAACCCCUAAGGGAAACGAGAUGGAACACUCUGAUACUCAACCACCUGGACUCUCUGAACUGGCAACAAAAGAGGAUCUGGGAAAAAUGAAAUCAGAAAUAAUUACUCAGAUAACAGCAAAGAUUUUGCUCAUGGUGCAAGACAUGAUUAAUAAAUCUAGAGAGGACACAGAUAAAAAAUAGAGGAUCUGAGGAACAUGAUGGAAUCCCAACAUAGGAAACAAAUGGAAUCCAUAAAACAGAUGCAAACAGAUUUCCAGGAGAUUAAAAACACCAUCGAAAGUCUGCGCAGCAGAAUGAGC